GGUUUCAUGGCGCAGUUGGUUAGCGCGUCUCCUUAACAAGUAACUCUGCAGUUCCUGGUUAAGUUCGGAGGAGGUCGCCGGUUCGAACCCGGCUGAAAUCA